rnacentral:rRNA from 1 species
UGGGGAAUUUUGGACAAUGGGCGAAAGCCUGAUCCAGCAAUGCCGCGUGUGUGAAGAAGGCCUUCGGGUUGUAAAGCACUUUUGUCCGGAAAGAAAUCCUUGGCUCUAAUACAGUCGGGGGAUGACGGUACCGGAAGAAUAAGCACCGGCUAACUACGUGCCAGCAGCCGCGGUAAUACGUAGGGUGCAAGCGUUAAUCGGAAUUACUGGGCGUAAAGCGUGCGCAGGCGGUUUGCUAAGACCGAUGUGAAAUCCCCGGGCUCAACCUGGGAACUGCAUUGGUGACUGGCAGGCUAGAGUAUGGCAGAGGGGGGUAAAUUCCACGUGUAGCAGUGAAAUGCGUAGGGAUGUGGAGGAAUACCGAUGGCGAAGGCAGCCCCCUGGCCAAUACUGACGCUCAUGCACGAAAGCGUGGGGAGCAAACAGGAUUAGAUACCCUGGUAGUCCACGCCCUAAACGAUGUCAACUAGUUGUUGGGGAUUCAUUUCCUUAGUAACGUAGCUAACGCGUGAAGUUGACCGCCUGGGGAGUACGGUCGCAAGAUUAAAACUUAAAGGAAUUGACGGGGUCAUAGCUGUUUCCU